UGACAUUUGGGCAAACACUUGAAGGAGGUGAGAGACUGAGCCACAAGGAUACCUUAAGAGAGCAAUCCAGAUAGAGGAAAGAGUCACUGCAGAGACCCAGGGUGGAAACACAGCUGGCGUGUUGGAAGAAGUGAAAAACGAAAGGCAACUCAAGAGUUUUGGCUUCUGGAACAAGAAUAAAAGAUCUUCUACCAAAUAUUGAGUUCCUCGGAAAGAAUCCUUUAAGACAAUUUUGUGUUGGUGAAAAGUGUCACAUCAGCAGCCGCAAAGUCUGAGUUUCUGUUUACUCAUCUAGCAGAGUGAAAGGCAGUGUGCAGGAGGGUGAGCAUGGACCCCAGAGCCAGAUCCGAACUCCACCCUUAUCAGCUCUGUGAUCUUUGGCUAUGGAACCUGAAGACAUUCAGGUUGUGUCCUGAGCCAUGUCAUGGAUGGGUGUCAGGCUGUGUCCCGGAUGUCAUGUCACGGAUGGGUGGCUGCAAAUCAGUCAGCCCUUUCUGAAAGCUUUUUUCUGCCCUUGGUGGAGGAAAACGAACAAGAACUUUGGAGGCGUGCAUAUGCGUGUGCACUGAAGGGAGGAUGCUGAGCUAAGAAUACAGAGAAGAAAUGAAAAAAACAAAAAGAACAAAGAUUUAUUUGCUAACUAAGAGGGCAUUCGCAAAUAUUUCUCCCACAUCCCAUCCAGAAAGAUUUCAAGGCCAGGAAAAUAAAAGCACCUGUCGGAUAUCAACUGAUUAAAGCUUCAGGGAAACCAGCAAAUGUCUUCAUUUUCCUAUUCAAGGACUCUUUUUAUAAUCAAACGCAAGAGGAGAAAGUUUUAAAUUUCCACUUUGGAGGAGUCUUGAAAUCCUAUAAACAGAAAUAUAAGCACCAUAAUUUUCUAAAUGUUAAGAGGUAAAGGCUCCCCACACACUAAUUAAUCCAAUUAUGUGUCUGUGACUUCAAACUUAAAAAGGCAAUGACUUCACUUCAAGGGUGAACUAUUUUUGGAUCCUCCAGUCUCCUUCCCGUGAAUAAUACUUUGGUUGAACCAACACAUCUCUCUGAGAGUGACACGAGUCUUCCUGCUUAGACAAGCAGGUCAGCAGUUAACUUCCUUCUAGUGCUUUCCUGAGAAGGCAGGUCCUAACACAUCCUUUCAAGAUGGUAACCCCAGUACCCUAGAACUUCUCCCUAAUUAUUACACUCCGUGAGAUAAAAGAGCUGUGUGUGGACAAUUUCUCCCAAAGAAGCCAAAAGAAAGAGAAAGGUGUGGUUACAAAGUCCCUUAAAAGAAAGACCUAAUGGUCUUUGGGAGUGACCAUUUUCCGUGCUCCCUUUUAAUAUCAAGCCUUAAAGCCAACCACACUGAAAAAAUUUUCAAUCUAUCUUGAGGUGAUUUAAUUCAAUAGUUUGUACCAAGUGACAAAAAGGAAAUAACAGACAUCUCUUCAGAGAAAAAAAAAAGAAGCCAUACUUUUAAAUAUGAAUUUUCCUUUUUACCCCCAUUCUUUGUUAAUGGACUUUAACUUGACUCAAGGCUAGGAAGGGUUUGGCAAGAUCAGUUUCAUCAGUGUGAACAGCUAUCUUGCACUCCUAAAGUGGUUUUUUUCUGAAAUUAAGCAUAGAGUUAAAUCAUCAAAAGUUGUUAGUGUAUAUUUCACAUCAUGUUUUUCCCCAUUUCUCCAAGAAGAAAAAAUCCUUUGUAAUUCUCCCACGUAGAAUAAGUGGCAACGUAUUAUUUGAUUUCAGUAAAUUCAUUAAAAGGGGAAAAUUAAAGAUAAAAAAUACAGAUCAAGUAAUUAAAAUAUUUAGUAACACUCUGAAUAAAAUGAAGGCAAGUUUACAUUUAAGUUUAGAUUUCUUCUUACCUAUACCUGUUGAAGUAAAUCCUCUGAAGCAAAAAAAAAGCACAUGGACUGUGCUAAGCUAUAUUUAUUUUCUGAGUGGGUUUUAGAGAGAAUUGGGAAAAUUCCAUUUGACUGAAUCAUAAAUAGAGCUAACAAAUUAGUCAGAAGUUUCCCAAGUUAAUAAAAAAUUCUGUAAAAAAAUAUUUAAUUUAAUAAAAUUUUUAAGCAUGUAAGACAAAUCCCUGCAAGGGCACUAUUGCAAAAUAUAUGUUGAACUGAAAUAAUAAUCAUAACAAGAUGAUGGGAUGGAAAUGAUCUUUCUUUCCAUGAUAUUAGGCCAGAUCCUGUCAGAUGGUCAACUGAUAUUUUGCAGGCAAAAAGAAGGCACACUCAAGAAUAGGUCCAUCCUCUUGGGCUCCUGGGAGACAGUUGGGAAAUUGCUGUCUCUAUCAUGUGACGGUCAGUAGCCUUGGUAGUUGCCACCCACUUCCCAUGUCUGACCCACCCCAAGGUCAUGUCACCCCAUGUGUGUGAGUAAAAUACUACCAGGUCUUCCCAUUCUCACCAAGCAGCACCCACUCUUCCAUCCCUCUGUUGUUCCCUCAAGUUUCUCUCCUUCCAUCUGAAGGUAAUCUCUCCACUCUGCCCGGAUUUCAUGCUCUCCUAUCUACCUUCUCAAGAAUCUCACAUCAUCUAUCACUCCUUCUUUCCGGAAUUUAAACUUCCUUCUCUUCAGUGGUACCUUCUUGUUAUCAACACUUAAUCAUACUCAGUCUUUUUCACCUCACAAAACCUCCUCCUUCAGCUGCUUCCCUAUCUUCUGCUCCCCUUCACAGCCAGUCUUGGAGAUGAAGUCCUCACUCCGUCGAUUUCUUUUCCUUCCUCCUCCAUCAUUCCCAUCACCACUCUAAUGAAGCUGCUUUUGCCAAGGCCAUCAAUGUUCCCCAUGCCAUUUAAUCCAAUGGACCCUUUUCUGUCUCUGUGUGACCUCUUGGCAUGUUUCAGUCACUGUUUACUUAUAUCCUUGUCAGGGCUCUUCCCUCGGCUUCCUGAUGCCACUAUCUGCUGAGCCCCCAUCACACACUCCUCCUCCUCUCGAAACUCUCUCAGGGCACCAUCCCAGGACCACUGUGCCUUGCAUUCUGUACACUCUCUUUGAUGGUCUCAUCAAUCUCUAUGGCUGCCAUUAUCACCCAACCACUGAUGACCCACACAUGUGUCUCUUAGCAGACCUCCUGAGAUCCAGAUACAUGAUUCAAUUCUCUUUGAAUAACCUGUUGGGAUGGCCUGUAACUCAACAUGUCCAAAGAUGAACCUGGUCAGAGUGAUAUUUUUAAAACACACAUCAGAUGUCACCCCUCUGCACAACACCCUUCAGUGUCUACCCAUCCUGCUCUAAGGAAAUGUCUAAGGCAUUAUAAUGGCCCACAAGACCCUACUCAAUCUGUCUCCAUCCUUCUACUUCUAUGACCUUAUCUCCUACUAGUCUCCACCUUACUCAGACCACUCUAGCCAUGCUAGCCAGACAUGCUCCCAUCACAGAGCCUUUGCACUUGCUUUUCCUCUGUCUGUUCUCCCUCCAGAUAUAAGCACUUGUUUGCUCACAUUUUUGAAGACUCUGUUCAACUAUCGCCUCUUGGUAAGGCUAUCUCUGAAAAUCCUAUAUAAAAUUGCAACCCACGCCUCGACCUAACAUUCCUUAUCCUCUCCUACUAAUGUCUUUGUCUUUAUAACACUUGUAAAUAUCUGACAUAUCAUAUACUUUGUUUAUUUAUUGUCAAUUGCUCUCCACUAGAUUAUAGGCUACAUCAUGGCAGGAGUUUUGGUCCCUUUUGUUCAUUGUAUUCCUAAAGCCUCGAACAGGGCCUGACACAUAGGAUACAGUCAAUAAUUAACUGUGGAAUAAAUAAAUGAAUGAAUAUUCACCCCCUCACUCCCCCAACCUGCUAUUCAUCAUUUCAGUAAAUGGCAUUCCCAUCUACCCAGCUGCCCAAUGCAGAAACUGAGGGCCAGCUAGGACUCAGCUCACACUGCCAUUAACCCCUCACUCAGCCCUCUGGCUAGCUGCUGAAAGUUGUCUCCCUCUCCUACCUCCUGUCACAUAGUUAUUUCCUACUCUUCCCUCAGGUUCCAGCCUAAACAUCAUUUUUACAGACCAUGUCUGUUAUAUUUCCCUUUAAAUACCCAACUAGGCCUAAUACAUGUCUGGCCCAUACUAAGUGUUCAUCAAAUAUUUGUUGAAUGAAUAAAUGGCAUUUCUCAGAAAUGCCAGAUUAGGUUCCCCUGUUCUCUGUUGUUAUGGCACCCUGUAAAUUUCAUAUAACACUCAUCUCACUUUACGAUAAUUACUUUGUUUAAUGUCUUUCUUCUCUACCAGAUUAUAAGCUCUCUGAAAAUGGAGAUCUGCACGAAGGUGGGAAUGAGCAAGCGAAGGUCCUAAAACCCAGAAAGGCCUGGCCUGACUGUGAAAGGGUCGUGCUGCACCCUUUGGUUCCUGGUGAAUGAAUGAAUGAUGUAGGAUGAGGAGAAAACAGAAACAAGCUCUUCUACCCACUUCCAUUUCCAGCACGAGCUACUAUAGAUAACAAAUCACAGCUUUGACUGUUCCUGAAUUCCAGAAAUACAUCAUCAAAGGAGUGCACAUGGACAUCGAGAACCCCGACUCUGCAUUUUAUUAUAAUUUUUGUGAAUAUUAGUCAUAAAUUUACCAGUCAGUUUGAUUCAACCCUCAAAUUGAUUAAAUAACUAUGAAGCAUACAUAAUCACAUAAAACCAAGAUCAUCAAUAGCUAGAAUUUAUCCCAAUAGAUGAGGAACAAAUUUCUAAGAAGAUUCAAAGUCUGGAUGCUACGUCACUAUGGUGACAAGACAGUACUGCAAUCAAAUGUGAUAGAAGCUCUCACACUGACCAAGCUACUCGAUCUUCUAAGGCAAAACCCCAGUAAAUUAUUAUUUAUAGGCAUUCCCAUCAUAAUUAUUCUUUUAACUUUUAAAAUUAAAUUACGUUAUUACCUUAUAGCUUUGAAGACACAUACAUGUUGCCACUAGUAUCUAUUAUGGUCAUCGCUUCAUUAGAAAGUGACCCAGUCAACAUUUGGUUCUAACCUAUUUAACUGCCUCAUCUAUUUAGUUGCCCCAUUAGGGGCUUUUAGUCCAUUACAAGAAUUAUUUAAACUAUCACUGAUUUUGGCUCAAGGAGGAACAAAAUAAGAAAUAUAAUUUAUUGUUUUGAUAGAUUCAAAAGAGUUUUGAUGUUCUAACAGGCUCAAGUUAAGACAGCAGCCAUGAGCUAAAGAAAUAAGCCAUUCAGACAUAAACAGAAGAAUAUGAGUAAUUAUCUCUGUACCUCCUAUUCUCUCAGCCUCUUGCCCUUCCCCUUGGUUGGAUAACUCUUCCUUACCCAUCAAGACUCAGGUUAAAGGCGCUUCGUCCUGAAUUAGGUCCCCUUGCUUUGUGCUCCCUCUACUCUCCCUGUCAUAACACUCAUCAUGCUUGGUUGUAAUUACAUUUUUAAUGUCCAAUCUUGCCGCUAGAUUGUAAGAUCCCUGAGGACAGGGUUCAUGCUUGUCUUUUUACCACUCUGUACCUAACACCCAGCACAGUGCCUGACCCACAGGAGGUGUGCAAUACAUGUUUGCUAAAUUGAAAUGAAAUUGAAGUUUAUUUGAUCACUACCAAUGAUUUGUAGUUGGACCGUAGUGAAACCUGUUAGUUUUACCUCCUACUAUGUGUAGGAAAUUCAUACCUAUAGGCAAAGAAUCACCUACAAAGACUUUCAGAACAGCAUUAUAAUAGAUAAGAAUAGGAGAAUGGAUAAAUAAAUUAUUCUAGGUAUAGUCAUACAAGAGGACAUUUCAAAGUCUAGAUAAAGUUAUAUUUCUG
rnacentral:lncRNA from 1 species